CCUACGGGCGGCAGCAGUGGGGAAUAUUGCACAAUGGGGGAAACCCUGAUGCAGCCACGCCGCGUGAGGGACGAAGGAACUCGUUAUGUAAAGCUCCAUUAGUCGGGAAGCAAAUGACGGUACCGGAGUCAGAAGCACCGGCUAAAUACGUGACAGCAGCGGCAGUAACGCGGCGGGGGCCGCCGUUAUCCGGAUUUACUGGGCGUUAAGGGGGCGUAUUCGGGAUAGAAAGUGUGGCGUGAAACGCUGGGGCUCAACCCCCGGGGCGCUGUGGAAACUGGACGGCUUGAGUGGAGGAGAGGUAAGUGGAAUUCCUAGUGUAGCGGUGAAAUGCGUAGAUAUUAGGAGGAACACCGGUGGCGAAGGCAGCUUACUGGACUGUAACUGACGUUGAGGCUCGAAAGCGUGGGGAGCAAACAGGAUUAGAUACCCCUGUAGUC
rnacentral:rRNA from 1 species